rnacentral:rRNA from 1 species
UACGAAGGGGGCUAGCGUUGCUCGGAAUCACUGGGCGUAAAGCGCACGUAGGCGGGUUGUUAAGUCAGGGGUGAAAUCCUGGAGCUCAACUCCAGAACUGCCUUUGAUACUGACGGUCUUGAGUCCGGGAGAGGUGAGUGGAACUGCGAGUGUAGAGGUGAAAUUCGUAGAUAUUCGCAAGAACACCAGUGGCGAAGGCGGCUCACUGGCCCGGUACUGACGCUGAGGAGCGAAAGCAUGGAGAGCGAACAGG